GCAGCCAUGCCGCGUGUAUGAAGAAGGCCUUCGGGUUGUAAAGUACUUUCAGCAGUGAGGAAGGUGGUAGUGUUAAUAGCACUAUCAUUUGACGUUAGCUGCAGAAGAAGCACCGGCUAACUCCGUGCCAGCAGCCGCGGUAAUACGGAGGGUGCGAGCGUUAAUCGGAAUUACUGGGCGUAAAGCGCAUGCAGGUGGUUUGUUAAGUCAGAUGUGAAAGCCCGGGGCUCAACCUCGGAAUUGCAUUUGAAACUGGCAGACUAGAGUACUGUAGAGGGGGGUAGAAUUUCAGGUGUAGCGGUGAAAUGCGUAGAGAUCUGAAGGAAUACCGGUGGCGAAGGCGGCCCCCUGGACAGAUACUGACACUCAGAUGCGAAAGCGUGGGGAGCAAACAGGAUUAGAUACCCUGGUAGUCCACGCCGUAAACGAUGUCUACUUGGAGGUUGUGGCCUUGAGCCGUGGCUUUCGGAGCUAACGCGU
rnacentral:rRNA from 1 species